CAGUGAUAAACUGGAGGAAGGUGGGGAUGACGUCAAGUCAUCAUGGCCCUUACGACCAGGGCUACACACGUGCUACAAUGGCGCAUACAAAGAGAAGCGACCUCGCGAGAGCAAGCGGACCUCAUAAAGUGCGUCGUAGUCCGGAUUGGAGUCUGCAACUCGACUCCAUGAAGUCGGAAUCGCUAGUAAUCGUGGAUCAGAAUGCCACGGUGAAUACGUUCCCGGGCCUUGUACACACCGCCCGUCACACCAUGGGAGUGGGUUGCAAAAGAAGUAGGUAGCUUAACCUUCGGGAGGGCGCUUACCACUUUGUGAUUCAUGACUGGGGUGAAGUCGUAACAAGGUAACCGUAGGGGAACCUGCGGUUGG
rnacentral:rRNA from 4 species